rnacentral:rRNA from 1 species
AUUGAACGCUGGCGGCAGGCUUAACACAUGCAAGUCGAACGAGUGGCGGACGGGUGAGUAAUGCUUGGGAAUCUAGCUUAUGGAGGGGGAUCACGACGGGAAACUGUCGCUAAUACCGCGUACCAUCGGAUGAGCCCACGUGGGAUUAGGUAGUUGGUGGGGUAAUGGCCUACCAAGCCGACGAACUCUAGCUGGUCUGAGAGGAUGACCAGACAAGACGGGACUGAGAGACGGCCCGGACUACCACGGGAGGCAGCAGUGGGGAAUAGUGCGCAAUGGGGGCAACCUGACGCAGCCAGGCCGCGUGAAUGAAGAAGGCCCUCGGGUUGUAAAGUUCCUUCGGUGACGAGGCGUUUAUCACAGAAGAAGCACCGGCUAACUCCGUGCCAGCAGCCGCGGUGAC